GUGUCUGUAGCCUAGCAGUAAAAGGCAGAACCUAGUAUGUGUCUCAGCUAUCCACUGAGGUUGUGGGUUUGAAUCCCACCAGACACA
rnacentral:tRNA from 1 species